ACUCAAAGGAAUAGACGGGGACCCGCACAAGCAGUGGAGUAUGUGGUUUAAUCCGAUGCUAAGCGAAAAACCUUACCGAGGCUUGACAUCUCUGGAAGGCUCCCGAAAGGGAGCUGUGCCGCUUGCGGAACCAGAUGACAGAUGCUGCAUGGCCGUCGUCAGCUCGUGUCGUGAGAUGUUGGGUUAAGUCCCGCAACGAGCGCAACCCUUGUCGUGUGUUACACUUUCACACGAGACUGCCCGGGCAACCGGGAGGAAGGUGAGGAUGACGUCUGGUCGGCAUGGCUCUUACGCCUCGGGCUACACACGUACUACAAUGGCCGUUACAAAGGGUUUUGCCAAGCCGUAAGGUGGAGCUAAUCCCAUCAAAAGCGGUCUCAGUUCGGAUUGAGGGCUGAAACUCGCCCUCAUGAAGUCGGAAUUGCUAGUAAUGGCGGAUCAGCACGCCGCCGUGAAUACGUUCCCGGGUCUUGCACACACCGCCCGU
rnacentral:rRNA from 1 species